CCUACGGGGUGCAGCAGUGGGGAAUAUUGCGCAAUGGGCGCAACCCUGACCCAGCAACGCCGCGUGCAGGAAGAAGGCCCUCGGGUUGUAAACUUCUUUUAACAGGGACGAAGAAAGUGACGGUACCUGUUGAAUAAGCCACGGCUAACUACGUGCCAGCAGCCGCGGUAAUACGUAGGUGGCAAGCGUUAUCCGGAUUUACUGGGUGUAAAGGGCGUGUAUGCGGGAUACCAAGUCAGACGUGAAAUUCUAGGUCUCAACCCUGGAACUGCGUGUGAAACUUUUCUUCUUGAGUGAUGGAGAGGCAGCGGGAAUCCCGGGUGUAGCGGGGAAAUUCG
rnacentral:rRNA from 1 species